ensembl:miRNA mir92a-2 microRNA 92a-2
ACAGCAUCCCUUUCUUUGCAGGUUGGGAUCGGCCGCAAUGCUCUGUGCUGGAAGUAUUGCACUUGUCCCGGCCUGUGAAGAGCAUGGGAAAUUGU